UACGUAGGGUGCGAGCGUUGUCCGGAAUUAUUGGGCGUAAAGAGCUCGUAGGUGGCGGGUCACGUCGGGUGUGAAAGCCCGGGGCUUAACUCCGGGUCUGCAUUCGAUACGGGUCUGCUGGGGUCCGGCAGGGGAGACUGGAAUUCCUGGUGUAGCGGUGAAAUGCGUAGAUAUCAGGAGGAACACCUGCGGUGUAGACGGCUUUCUGGACCAUUGCUGACGCUGAGACACGAAAGCGUGGGUAGCAAACAGG
rnacentral:rRNA from 1 species